rnacentral:rRNA from 2 species
UUCGCAAUGCCCGAAAGGGUGACGAAGCGACGCCGCGUGGGUGAAGAAGGCCUUCGGGUUGUAAAGCCCUGUCAGGAGUUAUGAAAUGUAGGUGCGAUAAUACCGUGCCUAUUUGACAAAGGCUCCAAAGGAAGCCACGGCUAACUCUGUGCCAGCAGCCGCGGUAAUACAGGGGUGGCAAGCGUUGUUCGGAAUUAUUGGGCGUAAAGAGCACGUAGGUGGGUUUGUAAGUCAGAUGUGAAAGCCUCCUGUUCAACGGAAGAAUUGCAUCUGAAACUGCAAGUCUUGAGUAUAGGAGGGGAGAAUGGAACUUCUGGUGGAGCGGUGAAAUGCGUAGAUAUCAGAAGGAACGCCGGCGGCGAAAGCGAUUCUCUGGCCUAUUACUGACACUCAGUGUGCGAAAGCUAGGGGAGCAAACGGGAUUAGAUACCCCGGUAGUCCUAGCUGUAAACGAUGGGCACUAAGUAGAGGGGUUUU